AGAGCUAAAAAUGGCAGUCGAAACGAGAGACCUUCGGGUCUCUAGUGGCGAACGGGUGAGUAACACGUAGGGAACCCGCCCGCGCACCGGGAAUACGCUCUGGAAACGGAGAACAAAUCCCGAUGUACAGGAAGGAGGCAUCUUCUUUCUGUGAAACAUCCUUUAGGGGAUGGGGCGCGGAUGGACCUGCGGUGCAUUAGUUGGUUGGCGGGGUAAAGGCCCACCAAGACGAUGAUGCAUAGCCGGCCUGAGAGGGCGGACGGCCACAUUGGGACUGAGACACGGCCCAGACUCCUGCGGGAGGCAGCAGUAGGGAAUUUUCGUCAAUGGGCGCAAGCCUGAACGAGCGAUGCCGCGUGAGUGAAGAAGGCCUUCGGGUCGUAAAGCUCUGUUGCGGGGGAAAAAAGGCAGCAUCAGGAAAUGGGUGCUGACUGAUGGUGCCCCGCCAGAAAGUCACGGCUAACUACGUGCCAGCAGCCGCGGUAAUACGUAGGUGGCGAGCGUUAUCCGGAAUGAUUGGGCGUAAAGGGUGCGCAGGCGGUCCUGCAAGUCUGGAGUGAAACGCAUGACCUCAACUCAUGCAUGGCUUUGGAAUCUGGAGGACUGGAAAGCAAGAGAGGGCGGUGGAACUCCUGGGUAUUGGAAAAUGCGUACAUAUAUGGAAAAACCCAAUGCCGAAGUCGCAUGUUUGUUCUUGUCCUGCCUAUUUCGCUAAUCGUAUUUUCUUGCCCCCUCACCCCAUACUAAAUU
rnacentral:rRNA from 1 species